ACGCUCGACACCUACGUGAGGCAGCAGUAGGGAAUCUUCCACAAUGGACGCAAGUCUGAUGGAGCAACGCCGCGUGAGUGAAGAAGGUCUUCGGAUCGUAAAACUCUGUUGUUAGAGAAGAACACGAGUGAGAGUAACUGUUCAUUCGAUGACGGUAUCUAACCAGCAAGUCACGGCUAACUACGUGUCAGCAGCCGCGGUAAUCUGAGGCGGCUGGCAAGGC
rnacentral:rRNA from 1 species